rnacentral:rRNA from 1 species
GACGAACGCUAGCGGCAGGCUUAAUACAUGCAAGUCGUGGGGCAGCAGGGCUGUAGCAAUACAGUUGCUGGCGACCGGCAAACGGGUGCGUAACACGUACGCAACCUUCCCGUUACUGUGGCAUAGCCCAGGGAAACUUGGAUUAGUACCACAUAUUAUAUUGGAGAGGCAUCUCUCUGAUAUCAAAGCUUCGGCGGUAACGGAUGGGCGUGCGGUUGAUUAGGUAGUUGGCGGGGUAACGGCCCACCAAGCCUACGAUCAAUAGCUGAUGUGAGAGCAUGAUCAGCCACACGGGCACUGAGACACGGGCCCGACUCCUACGGGAGGCAGCAGUAAGGAAUAUUGGGCAAUGGACGCAAGUCUGACCCAGCCAUGCCGCGUGAAGGAUUAAGGUCCUCUGGAUUGUAAACUUCUUUUCUCUGGGGCGAAAACCAGCUAAUCUUAGCUAUUUGACAGUACCAGAGGAAUAAGCACCGGCUAACUCCGUGCCAGCCGCCGCCGUAAAAC